GGGCACACCCGUUAGUUAGGGCUGGGUCCCUAGAAGAAAUCCCUAAGUUCUAGAACUACAUAGCCAGCGUAGGUUAUAAGAUGUCACUCGUUAGAUAGGACUGACAUACUCAGGGAUCACCCGCUAGUUUAGGACUAAUCCUAGGCAUCACCCGCUAGAUUAGGACUAACUCCACAGUAUUUGUUAGUACUCGUGGCAUGGUAUUAGAAUCCUUCUAGCUGGGGUUACAGGUUGGACC
rnacentral:lncRNA from 1 species